UCCGGUUUGACACCGGCAGUCUCGCUAGAGUACUCGGCAUGACCCGUGAGCAACUAGCGACAGGGGUUGCGCUCGUUAAGGGACUUAACCCGACACUUCACAGCACGAGCUGACGACAGCCAUGCAGCACCUGUGCUUGUUCCACCCUUGCGGGUGUGGCUCCUGUUUCCAGGAGUUAAUCCAAGCAUGUCAAACCCAGGUAAGGUUCUUCGCGUUGCCUCGAAUUAAGCCACAUGCUCCACCGCUUGUGUGAGCCCCCGUCAAUUCCUUUGAGUUUUAGCCUUGCGACCGUACUCCCCAGGCGGCGCACUUAACGGUUUCCCUACGACCGAUACCGCGUCAGAGCGGCACCGGUCCAGUGCGCAUCGUUUACGGCGUGGACUAC
rnacentral:misc_RNA from 1 species